AGCUAAUUUUAUUUAUUUUUUUCUUGCAGGUUCUGAAAAGUGCCUUUUCUGAAAACUCUGCUGCUUGGAUUCUACUCUAGAGCUGUCUCUUUACCAACCCCUCUCCCUGCCACACCCUUCCCCGCUCCCUGCCUCCUACAAAACCUGGCGUGCUUGUAGUUCACUUGUCAGCAACUUGUCCAUUUUUUUUUUCUGUGAUUCGCAGUUUUCUUAGUCAUUUUCUCGCCCCUCGAUUUUGCAGCAAAGCUGGUUUUCGGGUUGUAACAUCUUCCCCAGUCUUACUCUUUAGAACUAAGAAAUAGGGAGAAAAACUGUUCUCUCCCUGAUCUGAGACCCUUGCACAAAUUGAAGGGCAGCAAGCAGCAUAUGCUUUUUAUAAGAAUAAUUGAAAACAUCAACUAGACAGCACAGAAUUCUUUUGAAAGCCUGCCAGUUUUUUGAGGCAAAUUCAGCAAAGGAACAAAAUAAACCAUUCACUAUCUAUAAGCUUUACAGUUGCCUUCUUAGGAGUUGGUCUCUAAUUUGAUUUUUAGUUAUUCUGAUACAACUUUGAUUUUAUGAGUGACUUUUUAUUUGACUAGAUCAGAUUUGACUUAAAUGGAAACCUAAGUGCUAACAAAUAGACAUUCUGCCAAAGCAACUUGGUGUCUUUCACAUUUACCCCUAAUUCAUUUUUAGUCCUUUAACAAUCCAUAGUGAUAUUCUCCUAAAGAGGGUGCACUUGAUUAUAAUUUUGCUUUCAAUAUGACUGCUGUCAAUGUUGCCCUGAUUCGUGAUACCAAGUGGCUGACUUUAGAAGUCUGCAGAGAAUUUCAGAGAGGAACUUGCUCUCGACCUGAUGCAGAUUGCAAGUUUGCCCAUCCACCAAGAGUUUGCCAUGUGGAAAAUGGUCGUGUGGUAGCCUG
rnacentral:lncRNA from 1 species